GACGAACGCUGGCGGCGUGCCUAAUACAUGCAAGUAGAACGCUGAAGGAGGAGCUUGCUUCUCUGGAUGAGUUGCGAACGGGUGAGUAACGCGUAGGUAACCUGCCUGGUAGCGGGGGAUAACUAUUGGAAACGAUAGCUACUACCGCAUAAGAGUAGAUGUUGCAUUACAUUUGCUUAAAAGGUGCAAUUGCAUCACUACCAGAUGGACCUGCGUUGUAUUAGCUAGUUGGUGGGGUAACGGCUCACCAAGGCGACGAUACAUAGCCGACCUGAGAGGGUGAUCGGCCACACUGGGACUGAGACACGGCCCAGACUCCUACGGGAGGCAGCAGUAGGGAAUCUUCGGCAAUGGAAGGAAGUCUGACCGUGCAACGCCGCGUGAGUGCAGAAGGUUUUCGGAUCGUAAAGCUCUGUUGUAAGAGAAGAACGAGUGUGAGAGUGGAAAGUUCACACUGUGACGGUAUCUUACCAGAAAGGGACGGCUAACUACGUG
rnacentral:rRNA from 1 species